CUGAGCUUUCGCUCACCAUCCACCACUGCUGUUUGCCACUGUCGCAGACCCACCGCCGACUCCCAUCCCUCUGGAUCCGGCAGGGUGUCCGCUGAGCUCCUGAUACGGCGAGACUCCCAUUGCCACUCCCGAUCAUGCUAAAGGCUUGCCAUUGUUCCUGCAACGUUAAGUGCCUGGGUUCGUCCUAAUCGAGCUGAACACUAGUCACUGGGUUCCAUGGUUCUCUUCCGUGACCCACGGCUUCUAAUAGAGCUAUAACACUCACUGCAUGGCCCAAGAUUCCAUUCCUUGGAAUCCGUGAGGCCAAGAACCCCAGGUCAGAGAAGACGAGGCUUGCCACCAUCUUGGAAGCGGCCCGCCACCAUCUUGGAAGUGGCUCGCCACCAUCUUGGGAGCUCUGUGAGCAAGGACCUCCGGUAACAUUUUGGCGACCACGAAGGGACAUCCAAAGCUUAUUGCCUAACGGUCCACAAUAAAACAUUCUCACUUUGGUAACUGUAUAAAAAUAGAAGUACAUUACAUAAAAAAGUGUUUAAGCAAGAUCAGCUUACUCUGAGCAGAACCAGAGAAACAAGAAGGUGCAGGUGAUGGUAAACAUGGAUUCAGCAUUUACGAUCAGGAGGUAUACUCCAAGUAGAUUGAACAGAACUCUUGGCAUAUGAAUGACUACUCCACCUGGACAAGGAACAUCAGUACCAAAAUUCACCCCCUCUGCUGUUGUAAAGAUACCUACAAAUUCUUGACUACUUGUCCUGUUGUAAGAUGGAGGCUAGUUCCCCUCCUCUUAAAAUUGGGCUGACUUUACUUACUUGCUAGACAAAUAGAAUGUGACGGAAGUGAUGUUCUUGGACUUCCUACACUAGAAAAGAGCUUUGCAGUUUCCUGCUUAGAAUCCUCUUAUAACACUUAUUGCUAUAUUGUGAAGAAUCCAAACAGUCCAACUUGAGAGAAAUCAAGGCACUCAGUAGACAACCCUGGCUGAGUUUCCAGCUAGCAGCCAGAAACAACAUGCCAGCCUUGGAAGUGCACUGUCUUAAGUGGCUCGAUCCUCCAACUUCGGUCUAGCAGCCCCAGCUGAAGCCAUGCAAAGCAGAGACAAGUUUUCCAGCUAAGCCGUGUGAAAAUGACAAAUUUCUCACUAUCCUUGACAGAGAAGAAAGGACUUAGAACCGGAAUUCAACUUUGUGACCAUAAUCUUGUUUUCAUCCCACAUAAAUGAGCAGCAAUGUAGCCAGUAAAAACACAGUGAGCUUUGAGGUGAAGUUGAGAAGGUUGUCCCUCUGCAGGGAGGGGCCGUAUAUUUUGUGUAAGUCUCACAAGAUUGGUCAAGGUAACUUAAGAACAGAGACUGGAAGAUGCAACAUGCAGCUAUGAAGACAGACUUGUGGAACAGUUAAGUUGAGCACUCAUGAGAGACUCUGAGAAUGACUCCUCAAAUAUUCUGAAGAUACAUAAGUCCUAUCUGCCACACAGGACAGAGUGACUGAAUAACUAGAAUGUUUUAGAUCCCUGUGAAUCAGUAUUGAAUGUGGUGCCAGAAUAUAAAAAUAAACAAAGAAGUUACAAUAUAGUGACAUGGGAGCAGGGAAAUAUAACAAACAAACAAACACGUAAUUAAGUAACUUGAACAAUGAGUAGUUGUAUGGUAGAGGUAUAAUACAUAAAAUACCUUAAGAACACAGAGGUGGUAGGGCUGAAUUAUACCUGGAAGACUUCAAAACAGAGUUGGCUUUUUAAAGCAGGGUUUUGAAAGUUGAAGUGAUAAAGAGAAAACUGAGGCAAGAGGCCAGUUCUUCUGGGUAUCAAAAAUAAAUACAUAUUCUUGGACUGGCAUGAUGUAUUCAGGAAGUGAUGGGUAGUCCAGUGCAAGCAGUAUACAGCCAACAAAUCAGAGGUGACCUAACUGAAAAUAAAGGGAGCAGAGUGCUGGGAAAUGGUGGCUUUAAAAAGCAUAUAUUAUGAGUAUAUAUGGGAAUGAUCCCACCUCAUUCUUCUACUGAACAGGAAGAAACAGGAUGCUUUAUCUAGAAUUCCAGUAUGACUCCAAAUCUGAAAUCCGCAUCAGUGAUGGAAACAAUGAGUAGAUUUCCCAGGGACCUGAAUAUUAAAGAUUUCACUUUUAGACUCUGCAAUGUAGUAAGUUAGCAAAUAAUUAUAAAAACAGAAUUCAAAAUGUACAAAUUGGACUCAUCUACAUGACAAUACCCAAUUAUAAAUCCAAAUAAACUAGCAGCCAGCAAUCAAAAUAACAAAUGUCCAGAUUUUUCUUUAUUGAUUUUUCUAGUAAAAUGACCAUAUAUUUUGGUAGUUCAUAUGGUUUGGCUGUGUGUCCCCAUCCAAAUCUCAUCGUGUAGUUCCCAUAAUUCCCAUGUGUUGUGGGAGGGACCCAGUGGGAGGUGACUGAUUCAUGGGGGUGGGUCUUUCCCAUGUUGUUCUUGUGAUAGUGAAUGGGUCUCAAUAGAGCUGAUGGUUUUAAAAACAGGAGGUUCUCUGCACACGCUCUCUCUUUGCCUGCUGCCAUCCUCAUACAAUGUGACUUGCUCCUCCUUGCCUUCCGCCAUGAUUGUGAGGCCACCCCAGCCAUGUGGAACUGUAAGUCCAAUAAACCUCUUUCUUCUGUAAAUUGCCCAGGCUCAAAUAUGCUUUCUGUGAAAAUGGAAAAAUACUGUAAUACAAAGAGAG
rnacentral:lncRNA from 10 species